rnacentral:rRNA from 1 species
GAUGAACGCUGGCGGCGUGCCUAAUACAUGCCAGUCGAGCGAACAGACGAGGAGCUUGCUCCUCUGACGUUAGCGGCGGACGGGUGAGUAACACGUGGAUAACCUACCUAUAAGACUGGGAUAACUUCGGGAAACCGGAGCUAAUACCGGAUAAUAUAUUGAACCGCAUGGUUCAAUAGUGAAAGACGGUUUUGCUGUCACUUAUAGAUGGAUCCGCGCCGCAUUAGCUAGUUGGUAAGGUAACGGCUUACCAAGGCGACGAUGCGUAGCCGACCUGAGCGGGUGAUGGGCCACACUGGAACUGAGACACGGUCCAGACUCCGACGGGAGGCAGCAGCAGGGAAUCUUCGGCGAUGGGCGAAAGCCUGACGGAGCAACGCCGCGUGAGUGAUGAAGGGCUUCGGAUCGUAAAACUCUGUUAUUAGGGAAGAACAAAUGUGUAAGUAACUAUGCACGUCUUGACGGUACCUAAACAGAAAGCCACGGCUAACUACGUG